ensembl:snoRNA
AUCGUUUUGUGGUUUGUAAGUGUGAUGACUGAGUAUUCACACCAUUAUGUUAGAUACACCUCCCUCAAGCCUUGUUACGACUUUGGUAUGGUACUUGUCUGAUG